rnacentral:rRNA from 1 species
CCUACGGGCGGCUGCAGUGGGGAAUAUUGGACAAUGGGCGCAAGCCUGAUCCAGCAAUACCGCGUGUGUGAAGAAGGCCUGAGGGUUGUAAAGCACUUUUAAUCGGGAGGAAUAGCGGUCGGUUAAUACCCGGUCGUCUGACAUUACCGAUAGAAAAAGCACCGGCUAACUCCGUGCCAGCAGCCGCGGUAAUACGGAGGGGGCAAGCGUUACUCGGAAUGAGUGGGGGUGAAGCGUUAAUACACAUGUGAAAGCCCCGGGCUUAACCUGGGAACGGCAUUUGAAACUGAGCGACUAGAGUUGGGUAGAGGGGAGUGGAAUUUCAGGUGUAGCGGUGAAAUGCGUAGAUAUCUGAAGGAACACCAGUGGCGAAGGCGGCUCCCUGGACCCAAACUGACGCUGAGGCACGAAAGCGUGGGUAGCAAACAGGAUUAGAUACCCUAGUAGUC